rfam:Gossypium raimondii Chr09_contig_938, whole genome shotgun sequence.
CACGUCAGAGCGCUUUGCUGACGUGGCAACAAAUUGCCCCCUCAUGGACGCGAUUUGUUGCCACGUCAGCAAAGCGUGUUGACGUGA